rnacentral:rRNA from 1 species
GACGAACGCUGGCGGCGUGCUUAACACAUGCAAGUCGAACGGAAAGGCCCUGCUUUUGUGGGGUGCUCGAGUGGCGAACGGGUGAGUAACACGUGAGUAACCUGCCCUUGACUUUGGGAUAACUUCAGGAAACUGGGGCUAAUACCGGAUAGGAGCUCCUGCUGCAUGGUGGGGGUUGGAAAGUUUCGGCGGUUGGGGAUGGACUCGCGGCUUAUCAGCUUGUUGGUGGGGUAGUGGCUUACCAAGGCUUUGACGGGUAGCCGGCCUGAGAGGGUGACCGGCCACAUUGGGACUGAGAUACGGCCCAGACUCAUACGGGAGGCAGAAGUGGGGAAUAUUGCACAAUGGGCGGAAGCCUGAUGCAGCAACGCCGCGUGCGGGAUGACGGCCUUAGGGUUGUAAACCGCUUUCGCCUGUGACGAAGCGUGAGUGACGGUAAUGGGUAAAGAAGCACCGGCUAACUACGUG